UUACAACAACAACAAACAUAAAUGCAGAAUAGCUUCGAUUCUCAAAUAAAAAAAACAUAUGGGGAUCGAUAGAGACCAUUGAGGUGAGUAUAACGGUAUAUUUCUCUUCUUGCGGAAACAACAAUUGCAAAAUUUAUUAAGGGUCAAAGUUCCAAGUAAAAAAAUUUUUAAAUCAAAAU